CUCUCAUCCAUUAUUCUCCUGCUAUAUAUAUAUAUAUAAAAUCCUCGAAACCAUGGAUCCAAAACAAAACCCUAGCUCCUCAAUCUCAUUCAUUCUCCUAACGUUUUAUUUCAAUUAAAAAGGUAAGCAUCUUUCUUUUCGAUCUCUUUUCAAGAAAAACAGAGGUUUUCUCGAGUAAGCUUUUCUCUCAAGAGUAGUUUUUUUUAAAUUGGAUCUAUUUUGUAUAGAGCAAACACAAAACAAAGAAAAGAAACCGGAGCAAUGGACGAUAAACCCCGAACUCUUCUAAAUACUCUCUUCUGGUGGCUUGAAACAGAUGUGUAUUGCAUUGUCAUGCACGUGCUGCUGGUGGUAGCCUAUGUGUCAUCGGCGUGCUUUAUAGUAAUGCAUGGGCUGCUGACGACAGACGAGGCACGUUUCGAUUUCAUCAAGAAUUGCAUCUUUGCCUCGUGUAUGUACCUUUUUGCCAUCUCGGUGGAAGCCGUGACGAUAUGGGGCAGAUGGCCCUUUGAUGCGUCGUUUGCACAUCCCUUGUUCGGUUGCACGGCCCACUUCGCUGCCUUCGUCUACCUCGUCCCCAACUUCGAUUAUAUCUCUCCAACCGCUGCUUCGGUUUUGUAUAUCCUCGUUUGGGCAUACUUUGUACCAUGUCUUUUCAUCUCUUUUUUUUUUGUCCUUUCCACUGCUCUUGCUUUGGAUGCUCAUGAAAAUCCCACGGGAGCGGUUUGAUGUAAGAGGAUAUUGUUGGAGUGUUAAUUUUCCUAGUUUUUCA